GGAAUCUUCCACAAUGGACGAAAGUCUGAUGGAGCAACGCCGCGUGAGUGAAGAAGGUUUUCGGAUCGUAAAGCUCUGUUGUUGGUGAAGAAGGAUAGAGGCAGUAACUGGUCUUUAUUUGACGGUAAUCAACCAGAAAGUCACGGCUAACUACGUGUCAG
rnacentral:rRNA from 1 species